UACGUAGGGUGCGAGCGUUAAUCGGAAUUACUGGGCGUAAAGAGCUCGUAGGUGGUUUGUCGCGUUGUUCGUGAAAACUCACAGCUCAACUGUGGGCGUGCGGGCGAUACGGGCAGACUUGAGUACUGCAGGGGAGACUGGAAUUCCUGGUGUAGCGGUGGAAUGCGCAGAUAUCAGGAGGAACACCGGUGGCGAAGGCGGUUCUCUGGGCCUGUACUGACGCUGAGGAGCGAAAGCGUGGGGAGCGAACAGG
rnacentral:rRNA from 1 species